GUGCUCACUUCAGCAGCACAUACACAAAAAUUGGAACAACACAGAGAAGAUUAGCAUGGCCCCUAUGCCAGGAUGACACGUUUUAAUAAGGAAAAAAUAAAUAAAUAA
rnacentral:snRNA from 1 species